rnacentral:rRNA from 1 species
ACUCAAAUGAAUAGACGGGGGCCCGCACAAGCAGCGGAGCGUGUGGUUUAAUUCGAGGCUACGCGAAGAACCUUACCCAGGUUUGACAUGUAGGUAGUAGUGAAACGAAAGUGGAACGAUCCUUCGGGAAGCCUACACAGGUGAUGCAUGGCUGUCGUCAGCUCGUGCCGUGAGGUGUUUGGUUAAGUCCAGUAACGAGCGCAACCCCUAGGGUCAGUUACAAGUGUCUGGCCCGACUGCCGGUCUUAAGCCGGAGGAAGGUGGGGAUGACGUCAAGUCAGCAUGUCCUUUAUAUCUGGGGCUACACACACGCUACAAUGGGCGGUACAAUGGGUCGCCAACUCGCAAGAGGGAGCCAAUCCUAAAAAACCGUCCUCAGUUCAGAUCGCAGGCUGCAACUCGCCUGCGUGAAGUCGGAGUUGCUAGUAAACGCAGGACAGCUAUACUGCGUUGAAUACGUUCCCGGGCCUUGCACACACCGCCCGU